rnacentral:rRNA from 1 species
CCAGACUCCUACGGGAGGCAGCAGUGAGGAAUAUUGGUCAAUGGGCGGAAGCCUGAACCAGCCAAGUCGCGUGAGGGAUUAAGGCCCUGCGGGUCGUAAACCUCUUUUGCCGGGGAGCAACGGGGUCCUUGCGAGGGCCCGAUGAGAGUACCCGGAGAAAAAGCAUCGGCUAACUCCGUGCCAGCAGCCGCGGUAAUACGGAGGAUGCGAGCGUUAUCCGGAUUUAUUGGGUUUAAAGGGUGCGUAGGCGGGCUGUUAAGCCAGGGGUCAAAUGUCGGGGCUCAACCCCGGCCUGCCGUUGAAACUGGCGGCCUCGAGUGGGCGAGAAGUAUGCGGAAUGCGUGGUGUAGCGGUGAAAUGCAUAGGUAUCACGCAGAACUCCGAUUGCGAAGGCAGCAUACCGGCGCCCGACUGACGCUGAGGCACGAAAGCGUGGGUAUCGAACAGGAUUAGAUACCAA